CCAGUAUGUUAGAUUUUUGUUCUGGGGACUCGUAGCCAGGCAUCAACAAUGAAAAGAUGAAAAAAGCACUGAAAUAGGAGAGGGGUGCCGAUGAAAUGACCCGGCUACCUGGAACAGAAACCUCAGAGACCCAGGAAAGAGCUGCAGAAGCCUUUGAAUGUGGGCAGCAAGGGGUUUUCUGAAAGGCACUCAGCAUCCCCAAGUCCUACGCACAGCAGAGAACCCUCUAAGUAUGGAGAAAAAGGCCAGUUCUGUACUGUAAAGACAUGGAUUCGAGCAGCCAAAGAAGGAGAAGAAAUGAAUGCCAACAUACUUUCCCUCCAGCAAACUGAAGGGAAAGUAAAUUUGAAGCUGAGUGUGAACAGUAACCAGCUCAUGUGGUGAGUCAGGGUGAGGUCUUGCAUUAGAACUGAAAAGUCAUAAUACACAUUUCUGCUCGUGGGUGAAACCUGGCCUUCCUCUUUAGUGACUUCUUAGGACAUACCAGCCCUGUCAGCAGUUAUGGCCUGGACCUAGAAAGCAAACUUAAAUUUGUUAUGCCUGCCUCAGUUAGUUGCCUGUGGUGGCCUGUCUCUUUUGUGUCGUGCCAUCUUCACUUGUGGGAGCAAUGGUCUUGUUUUUGGACCUCAUUCUGACCACUGUUUGUGCAUCCACCUUCUUGUGCCAAACCAAGCUGGACUGCAUGGCCACAUCCAUGCUCUCUGGAACAGCACGGGUACAAUCUUGGUGAGUAACUUUGCUUUCCAAGCCAGUUUGGCUGGAGAGCAGCUUCCCAGGCUUUUUUCAUGCAGGCAGACAGCUAAGAUCUUACCAAGAGCCUGUUGAACGAUUCCAGCUACCAGGUCUAACCAUAGACAGUCUACAAGAAGAUGAAUUUCUAUACUUACUUUCUCUGUUUGUUGUCACCCCAUUAAUACUUUGGGUUGGCUUGGCGUUGCGUUUCAACUCUUCUCGCCAUUUUGCAUUCCUGUAGAAAUAGUAAAAGCUGUUGAAACUACCUACUCAACCUUGGCAGCCUUUCCCACCCUCUGUGCUCCAACGGGGCACUUUUCCUUCGGUACCCCAUGCCCGAUUCCUGUUGACGUAUGUCAGGUUAAACAAAGGAUUGUGUUACUUUAGAGUGGUGCAGACACGAACAGGGACUCCAGUUCAGUCUCCUAAGCGUGGCUUUAAUGAUCCAGAUCUCAUCUUGGCAACUUGAGCAUGCACUGUUAGUGCUACAGUUUUCUAAGGAAGUGAGGACUGACCACAAAGACCAGUUUUCUUCUCAUAUAUAGGCCUGGCUUGGGUCAGUAAUGUGUAUUGCAGGUUUCAGACUUGGCCAGGGAACACUUAACUAAGCCUGUCUUCACCAGAGAGCGUUCUCCUUCAAGGAGUGGACAUAAACUAGUCUAUGCCAGUUCAUCUAGAUGCCAUGAUUUUUUCCCCAGAACAGUCCACAAGGAAUUUUGCAGCUUAAGUAUGAGUAUGUAGGUGGUUACUAAGCAGAAGCAUUUUGUCUUACAAUAAAUGACAUCACUGCGGCUGCAAGGUGGGUGUAAGUAAAACUUGGAACUUCAGUGUCUGGGAGGCCUUACCUUUCAAGUUGGACAGGCUGCUGAAUCCAUGAUGCAGGAGACGGGCAGGGCCUGCAUCAUGCUUUUCUCAUACACAGGGACCUUAAAUUGCUUGAAGUGAGCUCUGUGCAGGUGCUUUAGUAGUUACCUGAAUCGUGUGUCUUCCCUCUGUGUGUCUGGGAAGAAGCUGCGUAGAGGGUAACAGGGAAGAAAGGACAGGAGACUUGGUGGAGUAUUUCUUUCCAAGGGAGUAGAUCCUUUGGCUCAGAUGCUCCAGGAUGCGCUUUGUUGCUAGACUGCUAUUUAGCAAUAAAACAGCCUUGGUUACUUAACGGGAAUUGACUGCUUGGUCACUUCUCCCCCUGCCAGCCCAUCCGUUCUCCCCGGCUUCCCUCCCAUGCAAUAAUGACAGCUUUUCCUGAUUGACCCCACAGGCUUACGAAAAACCUUUUUACUUAAACGUAUAUUGACCUCAGUCUUGCUGCCCAGUGAAUUAUGUCACAGCUGGCAAUCUGAAAAUCAUAAAUUAGACCUCAAACCUGUGGAGCUGUCUCCUAAUGAUACGGAUCUGAGCCUUUGUCGAUGAAGGUUGUACCAGGUGCCUUCAAGUCUCUGACAGCUGGCAGGGGGAAUACCCUUUUUAUGUUUUGUUUUGUUUUGUUUUGUUUUGUUUUGUUUUGUUUUCUAAAUUCAUCCCAUAGGCCCUGUGAUUUCUUUUCUUUCCUUUUUUUUUUUUUAAUUCCCUUCCCUGUCUUUCUUUGUGGUGUGUAUAGAACUUUGUUACUUGCCUUAACUUGCCCUUAAAAGGGGAAGAAAAGGGUGAUGUCAAAAUCUGAGGUGCUCUUAAUUUUUGGGCAGUGUAAAUUUUAUCAGUCUUUCCUCCCUUCCUAUUGAUUGUGUGUUGAUUUUUUUCCCCCCACUGCUAUGAUCUAGACAAAUGCACUAGACAAAUGAGAAAUUUAAUGAUAUUGGAAGCAUUUCUCCCUUACUCUGUAAUGCAGCAUAAUUCCAAUAGAUUCCCUUUACGUUCAUCAUCUUUCCCCCGAUGACUUGGGAUGUACUUGCUUGUUGUCACUUUUUGGAGGAGGGAUGGGGAAUACUCCAUGACAUGUGAAGGAAGCAUCACCAUAACACAGAUCAAGCCUUCUGUCUCUGUACAAGUAGUGACCCAGCAGGAGGGAGGCAACUAACUCCAUGGCAUUGUUUGUAAAAAGAUCUGUGUUGUGCCUGACUUAAAUAGUAAAAAAGCUACAAGUUGUCAUGAUUCACUGUUCUUUUGGGGAGGAAGAGAAGCAGAGCUUGAUUUUCCUCUUCAAGCAGACAGGAAUAAGAAUUAACUGUUCACACAUCUUGCGUGGGUGGCAGAUCCAGAAAAGGAAGGAUAUUUACUUGCUUUCCCACAUCUCAAAAUAGGGCUUCAUAAAUAGUUUGUCUUUAUCUAUCCUGAAAUAGGCUGAUAACAAAGCUGGAAAGAAGCUUGUUUUUCAGUUCUUCUAGCAGCAGUGGAAAUGUUACCUUGGUGAUAGACCCAUUUCAUGUUUGAGAUCUUAGAGGCCGCAUUUUGUAUCUGUGGCACGUUCUUUCAGCGCACCGUACGAAUUCUUGAACUCAGGAGUGUCCUGAGUUCAGGAUAUGUUACCGCUUUCUCUAACCCAAAAACCAGCUCCAUGUCCUGACUUUGGAAAAUGCAGAAGGGUACGUUUGGUGAUAGCUAUGGGCGGUAUUUGUGACACUGUGGCCAGACCAGGCAAGGCUGAAAUCAGUUCAGGGUUGAUGCUCUUGGCUCUGAAUGUAAUGAGUGAAGUUGUGAGGGCCCUCUGCACCUCUGGGGUGUUCAGUGUUAGGGAUGGAGAUCAGGCCCUAAGAUAACAAGGUGAUGAAAAGCACUUUCAGAAAUACUGACACAUAGACAGAUGGAUAAAAGAAGAUGUUGUAAGAGAGUGUAGAAAUAAAUCCCUUUCAUUCUGCUUUUGAUCUUCUGAGUUUUUUUAAUAUACGUCAUCAAUGAGCUUAUAUCCUGCAAUUUUAACAGCCUUACAAAGUGUUUCUAAAAGAAAUGGAUUUGUGCAUGUAUUUUAAAGACACCUCAUUGGCAUUGUCUUUAUCGAGAUUAAAAUACUCCCCUGCAGUAUUCGCAAUGUGACGUCUGUGGAACUGGCAUGUGCAGCACUGCCCAGAGAACAAACCUGGCUGGAAAUUUCCUCAUCUGCUUUUGUUACUGGGGAGACACCAACUUGUCAAAUGGGAGGAGGCCCUUUGAAGUGUGGAGAUAAGGACCUUUCUAGCCUUCAGUCAUAUCUGAAAGCCAUUUCCAGCCCAGCAGAGGAACGUGUCAUUCAGCUGGAUUGGGUUUGCCCACGUUCUACAGAGGAAUGGACAGGCGGAGUUGGUACAGAUUCCCCUGUCUGGUUGGCAUCGGCAGCUGGAUUAUCAAGAUGUCUUGACAAAGUACUUCUUCAUGGUAUUUUUCAUGUAAUCAAAAGCUGUUAGCACUGAAAUAUCUUCCCCAGAAAGGAUUCUCCUGAGCUGGCUGAACCAUGCAUGCUUUACAGAUAUCUUGGAAGUACUGCAGGAGGAGCUCACUGUUCUUCUCAGCAAAGCUUUCUUUCUCAUCACUUCUGACUAUUCCGGUUUCCUUUGUCAUCCUUCUUAAAGCACCAAUUUCCCAAAUACUAGGACGAGAGAACUAUGUUGUCAGCUUUCCACUUACCAGUGUAAUGAGUAGGAUCCUGCGUUAACGGGCCCACAGGUCUGAUUCAUGGAGGAAAUUACUGUGUCCCUUCUAAGGAGAUCACAGCUUGUAACAACCAGUGAGAUUCUGCUGCUAAUAUUCUCUGCAAAACUUCUCAGGGCUCUGCUUCACAAAGCAGAAUCCAGCUGCAUCAGGCAUAUGCUGCACAACUCUCCUGAAGUCAAAUCGGCCAUGGCACAGAACACACUGUGACUGCUGCCUUGACAUUCUCCCGAGCUGACAUCCCGACCGGUAUGACACUGAUGCCUUUGGGCAGAAAUCAGAGCCGGUUUGCUCUAUGGCUCUGCGUAGCCACGAUGCCUGUAGCGCCUCUGAGAGCCCCCAAUGCCCUGGUGGGGAAAUGGAGCGAGCACGUGGGCCCCAGUUGAACUCCAGGAAGAGAGCAGGCAUUAUCCACGGCGAUCCUGCUACCCAUUUCCAGUUUAAAGUGCUACUCGCGUUUAGACCUCCAGUGACUGUUGAAGAGGAAGAGUGGUCUUCUGGCUGAGUCAUUACCCAGAGCUUUGAGACCUGAUUCAGCUGAAGUGAGAGCAGGCAAGUCAUUUCAUCUCCUUGUGGUUCUUCUCCUGAUUUGUAAAGAGGAGGAACUAGUAUUAGUGUUGAUU